AAGCAGGAAUGAAAGGCGUAUGUUCAACAUCAUUUUGGACCCAUUUUCUGUGGCGGGAAACCAAGGUCCUGCACUAGGCAUUGCAGAUAUGAAGAUGAACUGGAUACAGAGCCCGAUUUCAGGGAGUCACAAGAGUGUGUGCUUAGUGCUGUGAGAGAGAACUUCCCCCUAGACAAAGGACAUCUAGACCAGCCUGGAGGGAGCAGACCCUGUUAAUAUCUCUGAGCUCAUUGCUUUUCUGGAAGAACAUGUUCCGAGUUCCAAUUUGGGAUGAUUCAAAACCUACGUCUGCCCCAGGCUUGAGGCGCCUGGGAUGGGUCACACCCUUUGCCUCCUCUCUCUGGAUGGCAUUUCUAAGUCACACCAGAGAAAGAAGAAAUAAAAGAGCCCUUCUUUAUAUAAAAUUGGAUUUUAACAUUCUCCAAAGUGGUGGCAGCCCCUGGAUUGCAAAUGAAAAGCACCCAGUUUUCCCAGAGAAUAAUCUGGAAGAGGGAAGUGGAGGUGAAUGGCCUCCUUCUGUAAUGGUAAGAACUUCUCCCCAGCCACCUCCAGAAGACAGAGAGAGGCAUCUGGGGGUCGGGGAUGUGAGUUGGCAAGAAGCUGGGAGACGUGACAGCCAGAGAGAUUGGGAGCGGAGACGUGCACCGCCCGGCGCCCUUCACUCAUGUCCUCCCUGGCCUGGGGCUCGGCAAGGCUCCUGCUGUUCCUUCCAUCUUCUCCAAGUGCUGAGAAUGAGGCGAAAGAGGAAGCAAUAG
rnacentral:lncRNA from 1 species